CAACGCGAAGAAACUUACCUACUCUUGACAUGUACGGAAUCCUGCUGAGAGGUGGGAGUGCCCGAAAGGGAGCCGUAACACAGGUGCUGCAUGGCUGUCGUCAGCUCGUGUCGUGAGAUGUUGGGUUAAGUCCCGCAACGAGCGCAACCCUUGUCCCUAGUUGCUACGCAAGAGCACUCCAGGGAGACUGCCGGUGACAAACCGGAGGAAGGUGGGGAUGACGUCAAGUCCUCAUGGCCCUUAUGGGUAGGGCUUCACACGUCAUACAAUGGUCGGAACAGAGGGUUGCCAAGCCGCGAGGUGGAGCCAAUCCCAGAAAACCGAUCGUAGUCCGGAUCGCAGUCUGCAACUCGACUGCGUGAAGCUGGAAUCGCUAGUAAUCGCGGAUCAGCAUGCCGCGGGAAUA
rnacentral:rRNA from 1 species